CCAGACUCCUACGGGAGGCAGCAGUGAGGAAUAUUGGUCAAUGGGCGGGAGCCUGAACCAGCCAAGUCGCGUGAGGGACGACGGUCCUAUGGAUUGUAAACCUCUUUUGUCGGGGAACAAAGGCGUCCACGGGUGGGCGGAUGAGUGUACCCGAAGAAAAAGCAUCGGCUAACUCCGUGCCAGCAGCCGCGGUAAUACGGAGGAUGCGAGCGUUAUCCGGAUUUAUUGGGUUUAAAGGGUGCGUAGGCGGACAGUCAAGUCAGCGGUAAAAAUGCGGUGCUCAACGCCGUACAGCCGUUGAAACUGGGGGCCUUGAGUGGGCGAGAAGAAGGCGGAAUGCGUGGUGUAGCGGUGAAAUGCAUAGAUAUCACGCAGAACCCCGAUUGCGAAGGCAGCCUUCCGGCGCCCUACUGACGCUGAGGCACGAAAGUGCGGGGAUCGAACAGGAUUAGAUACCCGCGUACC
rnacentral:rRNA from 1 species